rnacentral:rRNA from 1 species
CUUCCGUAGGUGAACCUGCGGAAGGAUCAUUACCGAGUGUAGGGUUCCUAGCGAGCCCAACCUCCCACCCGUGUUUACUGUACCUUAGUUGCUUCGGCGGGCCCGCCAUUCAUGGCCGCCGGGGGCUCUCAGCCCCGGGCCCGCGCCCGCCGGAGACACCACGAACUCUGUCUGAUCUAGUGAAGUCUGAGUUGAUUGUAUCGCAAUCAGUUAAAACUUUCAACAAUGGAUCUCUUGGUUCCGGCAUCGAUGAAGAACGCAGCGAAAUGCGAUAACUAGUGUGAAUUGCAGAAUUCCGUGAAUCAUCGAGUCUUUGAACGCACAUUGCGCCCCCUGGUAUUCCGGGGGGCAUGCCUGUCCGAGCGUCAUUGCUGCCCAUCAAGCACGGCUUGUGUGUUGGGUCGUCGUCCCCUCUCCGGGGGGGACGGGCCCCAAAGGCAGCGGCGGCACCGCGUCCGAUCCUCGAGCGUAUGGGGCUUUGUCACCCGCUCUGUAGGCCCGGCCGGCGCUUGCCGAACGCAAAUCA